UACCUAUAGCACUUGUUUACUAAUAA
rnacentral:sRNA from 1 species